UCCGGUUGAUCCUGCCGGACCCGACUGCUAUCAGAGUGGGACUAAGCCAUGCGAGUCAACAUAGCAAUAUGUGGCAUACGGCUCAGUAACACGUAGUCAACAUGCCCAGGGGACGUGGAUAACCUCGGGAAACUGAGGAUAAACCGCGAUAAGUCACUGCUUCUGGAAUGGGCAAUGACUUAAAUCUAUAUAGCCCCUGGAUUGGACUGCGGCCGAUCAGGCUGUUGGUGAGGUAAUGGCCCACCAAACCUGUAACCGGUACGGGCUCUGAGAGGAGGAGCCCGGAGAUGGGCACUGAGACAAGGGCCCAGGCCCUAUGGGGCGCAGCAGGCGCGAAACCUCUGCAAUAGGCGAAAGCCUGACAGGGUUACUCUGAGUGAUUCCGUUAAGGAGAUCUUUUGGCACCUCUAAAAAUGGUGCAGAAUAAGGGGUGGGCAAGUCUGGUGUCAGCCGCCGCGGUAAUACCAGCACCCCGAGUGGUCGGGACGUUUAUUGGGCCUAAAGCAUCCGUAGCCGGUUCUGCAAGUCUUCCGUUAAAUCCACCUGCUUAACAGAUGGGCUGCGGAAGAUACUAUAGAGCUAGGAGGCGGGAGAGGCAAGCGGUACUCGAUGGGUAGGGGUAAAAUCCGUUGAUCCAUUGAAGACCACCAGUGGCGAAGGCGGCUUGCCAGAACGCGCUCGACGGUGAGGGAUGAAAGCUGGGGGAGCAAACCGGAUUAGAUACCCGGGUAGUCCCAGCUGUAAACGAUGCAGACUCGGUGAUGAAUUGGCUUUAUGCCAAUUCAGUGCCGCAGGGAAGCCGUUAAGUUUGCCGCCUGGGGAGUACGGUCGCAAGACUGAAACUUAAAGGAAUUGGCGGGGGAGCACCACAAGGGGUGAAGCCUGCGGUUCAAUUGGCAACGCCGGAAAUCUUACCGGGGGCGACAGCAGAAUGAAGGUCAAGCUGAAGACUUUACCAGACAAGCUGAGAGGAGGUGCAUGGCCGUCGCCAGCUCGUGCCGUGAGGUGUCCUGUUAAGUCAGGUAACGAGCGAGACCCCUGCCUCUAGUUGCUACCAUUAUUCUCAGGAGUAGUGGAGCUAAUUAGAGGGACUGCCGUCGCUGAGACGGAGGAAGGAGGGGGCUACGGCAGGUCAGUAUGCCCCGAAACCCUCGGGCCACACGCGGGCUGCAAUGGUAAGGACAAUGAGUAUCGAUUCCGAAAGGAGGAGGCAAUCUUUAAACCUUACCACAGUUAUGAUUGAGGGCUGAAACUCGCCCUCAUGAAUAUGGAAUCCCUAGUAACCGCGUGUCACUAUCGCGCGGUGUAUACGUCCCUGCUCCUUGCACACACCGCCCGUCGCUUCAUCGAAGUUGGUUCUUGGCGAGGUGAUGCCUAAUUGGUACUAUCGAACCUGGGGUCAGCAACGAGGGAG
rnacentral:rRNA from 1 species